rnacentral:lncRNA from 1 species
UUUUAUUAUUGUUUCAGUUGGACUUUUAUUUAAGUUUACGUAUUUUAAUUAGGACUUAAAUAAUGGGCUUGGCCCUAUAUUUCUAGGUUUUCAUUAUUUAAACCUAUCAUUGGUUUGUAAUUUCUCAGUUGAUGAAUUGAUUAAGAAUUAUAAAGUUGGCUUGGCCGUUUUCUCUCCUCCUCCCUGCUUCUGCCUUCUUCUUCUCUUCUCCUCCCCCUUCCCUUCUUGUUAUUUACUGAUUUAUUAAUCUUCCUACAUCAAAUUGGUAUCAGAGCUAACCCUGGACAGCAAUUCACGCACCAUCAAUACCAAAACCCGUUGCUGCAGACAACAUACUACCUUGCCGAACCCAGUUCUCGUUUCUGCAGCUCCAGAACCAAUUGUAGCACCAAUAGAAUCAGCAACAAAACCCACGGGCAAGCUAAAGAAAAACUCAACAAACAUUGAAAAAUCUAAACCUGCCAAGUUAUCACCAUAAACCACCACGCCCGACAUGGUCGUAGGGAAGGGAAUCAGGCUCGGGACCGAGAGCGGGGGUAUUACCGUCAUGGUACACAAUCUCCCCCUCGCCACGAGGAGCGCCUCUUUCGAAACAUUAAGUUGGAUGCCCCUACGUUUGACGGUUGUCUAGAUCCUAGUGCCUUCAAUCAAUGGGUUAGAGAUAUGGAUCGCUUCUUUGCAUGGUAUGGGGUCUCGGAAGAUCGGAGGGUACAAUUUGCCAGUUUGAAAUUAACUGGCACUGCUCAACUCUUUUGGGAGAGUGUUGAAGACCUCCUUGAAAGGCGUCAUGCUCCCCCUGUUGGGAGUUGGGAUGAAAUGAAGCGCCGCCUUCAAGAAAAAUAUUUACCCCAAUCUUAUAGGGGUAACUUGCUGGAUCAAUGGAACGCACUUAUACAAGGCAAUCGACCUAUGACCGAAUAUGUUGCUCAGUUUGAUGAGUUUCGAAUGAAAUGUCAGGUUGUUGAGGAUGAAGUUAUGACUUUGAGUAGGUUUAGGCAAGGUUUAAGAGACGAACUUAGGCGCGAGCUUGUCCUUAGGGGUGUCGCCACUCUCGACCACGCCUACUCUUUCGUUCGGGAUUAUAAAUUAGUGACUAGAACACCAUAUAGAAAUCGUAGUGACUCCCGCACUACAACCUCAUCUGCAUCCACGCCAUCCCCUAAGUCUAUUCUAGGUCCUCCUCCCUCUAAUACUACCCCUGCAUCGGAUAGCAAAGGUAGAGGUUUUGAGGUCUCAAGGACAUCCUCCCGUUUGCAAUGCUUCAACUGUAAGGGUUUUGGUCACAUUGCUUCUAAGUGCCCUAGUCGAGCCCUAGUUCUGGACGAACGUUAGGAUAUAGUCGUUGAACCACUAGAGGAUCAGGUUUAUGAGCCUAAAUUAGAAGAGUUUGAAGACUUGGAGGACAGCGAGGAUACCUUCUUAGGUUGUAUUCAGGCUAAUCCCAUUAUCCCACAUACACCCAGGGUCGGUGUCGUCCGUUGCACCCUCACCCAACCUAAGGAUGCCGACGAUUGGCGCCGUCAUGCCAUCUUCCACACCUACAUCAAGAUUAAUAACAAGGGCUGUAAAGUUAUCGUGGAUAGUGGCAGUUGUAUUAAUGCGGUUUCGAAGGCUACUAUAUCCCGUCUAGGGUUGAAGCAAGUUCCUCACCCCCAGCCUUAUAGUGUCUCUUGGGUUGACACCUCCUGUAUAGCUGUUAAGGAGCGUUGUUUGGUCCCUAUCCAGUUCCUGGAGUAUAAGGACCAUAUAUGGUGUGACGUUAUUUCGAUGGACGUCGGGCACAUCAUCUUAGGACGACCUUGGCUAUUUGACCUAGAUGUAACCAUAUAUGGUCGAUCCAAUUCCUGCUCCUUCGUGUUUAAUGGAAAGAAGAUUCACCUUAACCCACUAUCCCCAAAGCCGGUUGGUUCACUAGAAGCGACGAAAAGCGUGGAACAAAAGGGGUUGCAUAUCAUUAGUCCUACAGAGUUUGAGCGUACAAUUGUUGGUGACUCAAUUGUGUUCGCCUUAGUAGUCAUGGAGGUUUCAUCUAACUCCCCAAGCGAGGAUACCGCGGAAGUCCAAUCGAUCCUUCAGGAGUUUCGAGAUGUCUUUCCGGAAGACCUACCUGAUCAUCUACCUCCGCUAAGAGAUAUUCAACAUGCCAUAGAUUUCGUCCCCGGCGCAUCCCUUCCAAAUUUGCCACAUUAUAGGAUGAAUCCUACCGAGCACGCUGAGCUCCAAAGGCAAGUGAAUGACCUUCUCAACAAAGGAUUCAUUCGUGAGAGUUUAAGCCCAUGUGCUGUCCCCGCCCUAUUGACGCCCAAAAAGGAUGGAUCUUGGAGAAUGUGUGUGGAUAGUCGCACUAUCAAUAGGAUCACGGUGAAGUAUCGUUUUUCCAUUCCCGGGCUUGAUGAUAUGUUGGAUAUGAUGGUUGGCGCGACAAUCUUUUCAAAGAUCGAUCUAAAGAGUGGGUACCAUCAAAUUAGAAUUCGCCCAGGGGAUGAGUGGAAGACCGCGUUUAAGACGAAAGAUGGCCUUUAUGAAUGGCUGGUCAUGCCUUUUGGGCUAAGUAAUGCGCCGAGUACCUUCAUGCGGGUAAUGACACACUCUUCGGCCGUUCAUGGGGAAAUUUCUCGUUGUCUACUUUGAUGAUAUCCUCAUCUAUAGUAAAACUAAGGAGCAACACCGUGACCACCUCAAACAAGUUUGCUCUACCCUUCGCGAGACUAACCUGUAUGCUAAUGUCAAGAAAUGUUCCUUUUUCAUCGAUAACGUAGUUUUUCUGGGGUUCAUUGUCUCGUCGACAGGGGUGUCGGCUGACCCUACUAAGAUUCAGGCGAUAAUUGACUGGCCUGAGCCUAAGGCCAUUCAUGAUGUCAGGAGCUUUCACGGCUUAGCUACGUUUUACCGCCGUUUUAUUAAAGGAUUUAGCACUAUUAUGGCGCCUAUCACGGAGUGCAUGAAGAAAGGAGAGUUUCAUUGGACACGAGGGGCAGCGAAGACCUUUAAGUUAGUCAAGGAGCGAAUGACAGAAGCUCCUGUCAUGCGUCUUCCCGAUUUUUCCAAAGUCUUUGAAGUUGAAUGUGACGCUUCUGGGGUAGGUAUAGGCGAAGUCUUAAGUCAGGAUCGUCACCCUGUCGCCUAUUUCAGCGAAAAGUUAAAUGAGGCCAAACGACGAUAUUCAACGUAUGAUAAGGAACUGCAUGCGGUGGUCCAGGCUUUGCGCUAUUGGCGCCACUACUUGUUGCCUCAAGAAUUUGUCCUUUAUUCGGACCACGAAGCCCUCCGUUACCUCAACUCUCAGAAGAGGUUAAGUUCUAGGCAUGGACGUUGGGUUGAAUAUUUGCAGGCCUAUUCAUUUGUUUUAAAACACAAGAAGGGCGUGGAGAACCAAGCAGCUGACGCGUUAAGUCGUCGUGUUUCCCUUUUGUCGAUCAUGAGUGUCAAAGUCAUUGGUUUUGAAAGGCUUAAGGAGGAUUACGAGGCAUGCCCAGAUUUUAAGGAUAUCUUUCUCGAUUUACAAGGAGGACAAUCAAACAGCACAGAUGACUUUCGACUUGAGCAGGAUUAUCUCUUUCGAACCAAUAAAUUGUGCAUCCCUCGAAUUUCAGUGCGAGAUUUUAUAGUGUGAAAAGUUCACGCAGGAGGGUUAGCCGGUCACUUUGGACGUGAUAAGACCAUUGAGGAGGUUGAACGCCAAUUCUAUUGGCCUAGUUUAAAGAGAGAUGUGGCUAAAAUUGUUAGUACAUGUAACACUUGUCAAUUGGCCAAACAGAAGAAGCAGAACACAGGCCUAUACACUCCUCUCCCCGUCCCCAAUUGUCCUUGGCAAGACGUUAGUAUGGAUUUUGUGCUAGGACUGCCACGCACCCUAAAGAAGCAUGAUUCUAUUUUCGUGGUUGUCGAUCGUUUCUCGAAAAUGGCUCACUUUAUCCCCUGUAGCAAAAUAUCGGAUGCGUCCAAGGUUGCCAUGUUAUUCUUUAAUGAGAUUGUCAAACUGUAUGGACUUCCCAAAACCAUCGUGUCCGAUAGGGACGCUCGCUUCACUAGCCAUUUUUGGAGGACUUUGUGGCAUAAGAUGAGCACCAAAUUAAAAUUUUCUACAGCCUACCACCCUCAAACUGACGGUCAGACCGAAGUUGUUAAUCGGAGUCUUGGUAACUUAUUACGUUGUAUGGUCCGGGAGAACCUUCGAAAUUGGGAUUUAAUCCUUCUUGUCGCUCAAAUCGCGUAUAAUAGCUCCGUAAAUCGUUCAUUGGGUAUGAGUCCAUUUGAAGCCGUUCACGGAUACAAGCCUAGGAAACCAUUAGAUCUCAUCCCUAUGUUCCCACAGGCUAGAGUGUCAGUAUCAGCCGAAACAUUUGUACAACACCUUCGUGAUUUGCACAUUGAGAUCAAUAAACAACUUGAAGCCAGUAAUGCAAAUUAUAAACUACAAGCAGAUUUAUAUAAACGACAUAUUGAGUUUAAUGUUAGGGAUUACGUUAUGGUUCGCAUUAGGCCAGAGCGGCGUCUACAUGGACCCGCCUCCAAAUUGCAGGCUCGUAGUGCUGGUCCUUUUAAAAUUUUAAAGCAAGUUGGUCCAAAUGCAUAUAUUGUUAACAUUCCAUCCCACAUUGGUUACCACCAUACUUUCAAUGUUGAAGACCUUGUAGCUUAUAAAGGCUAUUUCAUUCCCUCAGAUGAUCCCCUGUUACCUCCUUUUGUGGACCUUGAUCCUAAUUCUUUGGCCCCUUCUAACCCACUACCACCUCUCACAGCACACACAGAUAAAAUUGAUGCUAUUUUAGAUGAAGAAACUGUGUUCACUAAUGAUGGAGAGGUUCAGCGCUUCCUUGUUCGUUGGGUUGGUCGCCCAGAUUCUGAUUGUGCAUGGAUCUCCAGGGAGACACUACAGCAUUUGGAUCCUGAUUUGUUAGAGCUUUAUCGGAGUCAGUAGGAUCUUCCUUGGCCCAGAUCGCCUCCCGUUCACCCGAGGGGAGUUGAUGAGGACACCAGGUUCAGACCGCCACUGACACAUUUCUACAGACGCCGGAAGAAACUUGCCCAACCACUCAGCUUAUGGUUGGGAGAUUGACGGGAAUCUACGGUGAUAUAUCCACUCGACAGGGUCGAGUUUUCUCCCACCUCGGGAGAAUUGAUGAGGACAUCCUUAUAGUUGGACUUUUAUUAUUGUUUCAGUAUUUUAGUUGGACUUUUAUUAUUGUUUCAGUUGGACUUUUAUUUAAGUUUACGUAUUUUAAUUAGGACUUAAAUAAUGGGCUUGGCCCUAUAUUUCUAGGUUUUCAUUAUUUAAACCUAUCAUUGGUUUGUAAUUUCUCAGUUGAUGAAUUGAUUAAGAAUUAUAAAGUUGGCUUGGCCGUUUUCUCUCCUCCUCCCCGCUUCUGCCUUCUUCUUCUCUUCUCCUCCCCCUUCCCUUCUUGUUAUUUACUGAUUUAUUAAUCU